rnacentral:lncRNA from 1 species
GCCCGCCCUGGCUGGGGGAGGGAACCCCCGGCCAGCGGUGGGCGUGGGGCGGCUGCGGAGGUCCCGGGCCUGCGGAGGGCAGGGCGUCCCUGUGCGCGACCCACCCCAGGCAGCGGCGCCCGGCGGCAGGUCGUCCCCACGCGCAGAGCCCUGCGGCGCCGCAGGGUGGGGAUCCCGCGGGUGCCGAAGGGCGCGUCCCCCCCGCCCCGGGCCGCCGCGGGGCUCGCCCAGCCCAGGGUCCCGCCCCCGCGGUGUGGCCGGCGGCGGUCCUGCGGUGUGGACGGCGGCCCGCCGGAGAACCAGCCUCAACCUGAUCCCCAGCGCGUCUAAGCGAGGGAUGAAUGACCCACAGCACCGGCUGUGUCCUGGGGGCCAGGUGGCAGCAACCAUCUGUUAAUAGCAGCACUAAGUGGAUGGGUGAAUGGGUGUCAGGUGAGGUUUAAUCUGGAAUGCCUCAGAGACCCCACUGCUCUUCCCUGGCCUUUAGUGGAUUAACGGUCUGAAGCUCUGGGCGUGGAUAAACUAGAACAGUCUCCAUCCACAUUUAUCCCCUCCUUUGCUCACCUGAUAGCUUUCUCGACCCUCAGCAGUCAGCUCCUCUUGCUCAGCAGCCUGCUGGAGACACCACAGGUAUCCUACCUACAAGGACGACCUUUGCCAUUGUCCUCAUCCUCACACCAACCCAGCCCCCUUAGAGCCCUCCACACCGCCAGUGUCCCCGCCCAGCCCCUGCCAGGCAUCAGCCUCUGGCAUCAGCCUUUGUGUGCAGAUGAAGCUGUCUGGGCUGCCUUUGUCCUGGGAGGGACUGGGAUUUUGAUCACUAAUUAGUGGCUGGCAAAUCAGGAGUUAGCCUUCGUCCCCUUUCCAGGACCCACAGGUAAUUCUUAUGUGGGAAACAAGGGCAAAAGAAAAAAAAUGAAAUUUCCUUACUGCCUACAGCCCACUGGCGUGUCCUUGAAACAGGCUGAGUGACCUCUACCCCCCAAGAUAAACGUUAGCAAUCCUCUUCCAAGCAUGUGACCCAUCUGAAAGUUCUCAUGACUAAGUUUUUACUAAACUAAUAAGCAACCUUUUCCUAAUGACAGCUAGGCCCUGCAGGAUCCUGGAAACCUCUUUUCCAAAAUACCUCCCCCUGACCCCCUCCCAACUUGAAAGCAUCUAAUGGGCCACUCCUCAUGACCCCGGUGCCCCUCUUCCUGCCCACAAGUCCUGUCCUGGUGCUUUAAUAAAACCACCUUUUUGCACCAAAGAUGUCUGAAGAAUGUUUUCUUGGCCAUGGGCUCCAAACCCCAACACUUCAAACCACAUCAAUACCACAAGGGUUCCUGCCCCCAUUUCCUGCCUGGGAAUUAGGGUGAUCCCUGCCAGCCCAACCUCCCACCAUGUGGAUAAGAUGGGCAGAGGCUCCCAGACAGCAGUGAACUGAGACUGUGAUUCGCAUUUG